GGGGUUGUACUGGUUUCGACGGGCUCACUGAAAAUGGAGAAGCUGUCCGUGGUCGGAAACCACGUAAAAAGUUCGAAUUUAAAUUUAAACGCUGAAGAACCUUUAGCACUCGCUGCCUAAGCGCAGCGCAUCGCCCCUGAUGCCCCGCCGUCAGGACCAGCGGUGUCAUACCUGCGGGAAACUCCGUCACUUAAGCUUUGCGGUGGUGGAAAAUUCAUGAAGCUACUGAAGAAAACAGCUUGUUUAUGGGCGGUUUUUGGAGGGAAUGCCAAAGCAUAAACUAUGACAGUAGAAGGACAUGGGAUCUGGGUUCGGACGCGGGUUCGAUUCCCGCCAGCUCCACU
rnacentral:tmRNA from 1 species